rnacentral:lncRNA from 1 species
CUAUAUUUCAAUGCAUAUGUUCUCUGUCCUCAGACUCUGAACGCUUUCUCAGACCCAAAAGCUGCAAAGACCAAAGGGCUAUCAUGGAAGAAGAAGACAAAUAAUCUGAAUUGUUUAGGUUCCUUUCCGUACCUAUAUCUCCCCUUCCUACAAACUUUUUUUUCCAAUUGCCUGUAUGAGAGGAGAAAGCAUUAGUAAUGAAAUGCUGCAGUUUUCUGUAAUCAUACCCUUCAUUUCUCCAGGAAGGAACAUCUUUGGACCAAAAUCAGGGUCAUGAUGGAAGCUCGGCAGGAGGAAAUCCAGAAAGAAGCCAAAGGCAUCAGGAGAGCUCGCCCCAGCAAGAAGGAUCUUCUGUGGGCAGAAGUCCAGAUCAUCAGGCAAAAUUGGUAAGACUGAGCAUGGCAUUGAUUAGUUGCCCUUGGCACUCCUUCAUCGCAUACCUAGAGUUGGAAAUAUGGUGAUUCUAACUUGUUUCAAUUAAUAAUCAU